GAGUGGACAACGAGUGAACAGGUUUGCUAAAUUUGCUGCUUAUUUAUAAGCUUUAUUCGUCAACCGAAUCGACCAGACGAUGUUUUCAUGAACAAGCAUCGUGUCAGUGGCCAAAGUCAGUUGACUGCUUCAACGAGGAACCAGGACUGUCUACAUGUACAUGCGCUGAAUGGAUCUUGAGCUUUGUACAAGAGAUGGGUGUAAGACCUGACCUACAAAAAGGGGUAGCUGGUGUAAGAACUGAUGUACAGGGGAGUUGGUCCACCGAGCACAAUCUCUUCCUGAGUUUCUUGAUUGCUGGGGAAGGGAUUGGUCCUUCAUGAAAGUAGAAAAAAGAAGAAGAAAUGGGAAGUUAUCAUCAGGGCUGCCUGUUUUUGCCUCCCGAAAGUGGACACCCUUUUAAGAUGACAUCUUAAAAAGGUACACAUUGUGUACCUUUAGGUCCUAGGGGUUUGAGCUUACAGGACGUUUGAUUGUAUGUUUUCUUUUCUUUCUGAGCUACAAAGGGAAGACUGAUAACUGUUCUGUUGAUUGCUUAAAACCUUUCUAUCAUGUGAGAUGCAUCAGCAGUGGCAAAAAUAAACAAGAAACUGAACAAACAAGAUCAAACAAGUCAAAAGGAAAAUGACAAGUAAGUUUUUUUUUUUACUUUCUCAAUUCUUUCUUAGGUUCAAUGGCUUGCUUUGCAGGGCAAUGUUAGUUACUAUACUUCUGCCUGUGGGUUUGUACUUGUAUUAAAUUGCAGUAUUAAUUGCAAGGUUGUAAAAUGUUUAUUUCAUUUCAUUGGAUAUAUUUCUCCAUGAUUCAUAAUCAAAUAGAAGUCAAAUAACUGAGUAUGUUGACCUUUUUGAAGAAUUGAAUUUGAAUUUGAAAUGACCCAAGUGGGAAAUACAAAGCUAAAAUUAAUGCUACACAAGUUUUAACACAGUAGAUAAUAUAUGAAAGAUCAUAUAUUUGAACUACGGAGAAAGAUAUGAAGACAUGAUUGAUCAUUGCAGUUGUGUACACAAGCAAAGGAACGUUUUCC